rfam:Cavia porcellus supercont2_19 genomic scaffold, whole genome shotgun sequence.
ACAAAGGCCCUUUUCAGGGCCACCACCGCCUCACAGAAAGAGCUG